AGGGUUUGAUCCUGGCUCAGAAUGAACGUUGGCGGCGUGGAUUAGGCAUGCAAGUCGAACGAGAACGGUUCCUUCGGGAACCAAGUAAAGUGGCGGACGGGUGAGUAAUACAUAGACAACUUACCCCCGAGACGGGGACAACCACUCGAAAGGGUGGCUAAUACCCGAUACUGCCUGGAGUCGGUGGAUUCCAGGUGAAAGAAGGCCUCUGUUUCAAGCUUUCACUCGAGGAGGGGUUUAUGUCCUAUUAGCUAGUUGGUGAGGUAACGGCUCACCAAGGCGACGAUGGGUAGCCGGCCUGAGAGGGUGACCGGUCACACUGGGACUGAGACACUGCCCAGACUCCUACGGGAGGCUGCAGUCGAGAAUCUUCCGCAAUGCGCGCAAGCGUGACGGAGCGACGCCGCGUGGGUGAUGAAGGCCUUCGGGUUGUAAAACCCUGUUACCUACUAUGAACAAUUGGUGGUGAAUAACCAGCCAAGCUGACGUAAGUAGGAGAGGAAGCACCGGCUAAAUACGUGCCAGCAGCCGCGGUAAUACGUAUGGUGCGAACGUUAUUCGGAAUUACUGGGCAUAAAGGGCGCGUAGGCGGUUUGGUAAGUCUGUAUGUGAAAUCCCUCGGCUUAACCGAGGAACUGCAUCGGAUACUGCCAGACUAGAGUGCAGGAGGGGAGAGCGGAAUUCCUGGUGGAGCGGUGAAAUGCGUAGAUAUCAGGAGGAACGCCAGUGGCGAAAGCGGCUCUCUGGCCUGCAACUGACGCUGAGGCGCGAAAGCUAGGGGAGCGAACGGGAUUAGAUACCCCGGUAGUCCUAGCCCUAAACGAUGGGCACUAGGUAGAGGAGGUUUUAGAGCUUUCUCUGCUGUAGCUAAUGUAUUAAGUGCCCCGCCUGGGGAGUAUGGUCGCAAGGCUAAAACUCAA
rnacentral:rRNA from 1 species